GGCCUUCGGGUUGUAAAGCUCUUUUGUCAGGGAAGAAACGGGUGAGGCUAAUAUCCUUGCCUAAUGACGGUACCUGAAGAAUAAGCACCGGCUAACUACGUGCCAGCAGCCGCGGUAAUACGUAGGGUGCAAGCGUUAAUCGGAAUUACUGGGCGUAAAGCGUGCGCAGGCGGUUGUGCAAGACAGAUGUGAAAUCCCCGGGCUCAACCUGGGAAUUGCAUUUGUGACUGCACAGCUAGAGUGUGUCAGAGGGGGGUAGAAUUCCACGUGUAGCAGUGAAAUGCGUAGAUAUGUGGAGGAAUACCGAUGGCGAAGGCAGCCCCCUGGGAUAACACUGACGCUCAUGCACGAAAGCGUGGGGAGCAAACAGGAUUAGAUACCCUGGUAGUCCACGCCCUAAACGAUGUCUACUAGUUGUCGGGUCUUAAUUGACUUGGUAACGCAG
rnacentral:rRNA from 1 species